rnacentral:rRNA from 1 species
GACAGAGGGUGCAAACGUUGCUCGGAAUCACUGGGCGUAAAGGGCGCGUAGGUGGCGGCCCAAGUCCAUGGUGAAAACUCGAUGCUCAACAUCGAGUCGGCCACGGAUACUGGGUUGCUCGAGCACUGUAGGGGCAGAUGGAAUUCCGGGUGUAGCGGUGGAAUGCGUAGAGAGUCCGGAAGAACACCGGUGGCGAAGGCGGUCGCUGGGCAGUUGCUGGACACUGGAGGCG